rnacentral:tRNA from 2 species
GUAGAGCAGAGGACUGAAAAUCCUCGUGUCACCAGUU